CCCUACUGCUAUCGGGGUGGGACUAAGACAUGCUAGUCGAGCGCCUUGAGCUAUGGCGAGGCGCGGCGUACAGCUCAGUAACACGUGGCUAACCUACCCUUAGGACGGAGACAACCCCGGGAAACUGGGGCUAAUAUCUGAUAGGUGAGGAGGCCUGGAAUGGUUCUUCGCUGAAAAGGCGUUGAAACCAUGCUUUUCAGCGUCGCCUAAGGAUGGGGCCGCGUCCGAUCAGGUUGUUGGUGGGGUAACGGCUCACCAAGCCUAUAACCGGUACGGGCCGUGAGAGUGGGAGCCCGGAGAUGGGCACUGAGACAAGGGCCCAGGCCCUACGGGGCGCAGCAGUCGCGAAAACUCCGCAAUGCGCGAAAGCGUGACGGGGCUACCCCGAGUGCCGUCCGCUGAGGAUGGCUUUUCCCCGGUGUAAUGAGCCGGGGGAAUAAGGAGAGGGCAAGUCUGGUGUCAGCCGCCGCGGUAAUACCAGCUCUCCGAGUGGUAGGGACGAUUAUUGGGCUUAAAGCGUCCGUAGCCGGCUUAGCAAGUCUUCUGUUAAAUUCAGCGACCUAAUCGUUGAGCCGCGGGAGAUACUACUAGGCUAGGAGGCGGGAGAGGCCGACGGUAUUCUCGGGGUAGGGGUGAAAUCCUAUAAUCCCGGGAGGACCACCAGUGGCGAAGGCUGUCGGCUAGAACGCGCUCGACGGUGAGGGACGAAAGCUGGGGGAGCGAACCGGAUUAGAUACCCGGGUAGUCCCAGCUGUAAACGAUGCGGGCUAGGUGUUGGGGUGGCUACGAGCCACUUCAGUGCCGCAGGGAAGCCAUUAAGCCCGCCGCCUGGGGAGUACGGCCGCAAGGCUGAAACUUAAAGGAAUUGGCGGGGGAGCACCACAAGGCGUGAAGCUUGCGGUUC
rnacentral:rRNA from 1 species